AGAAGCUCCCACUUGAUGAAAUAUACUUUGGGAAAGGCCAUCUUUUUUGAGGCUCUCUUAGAACCUCUGAUUGUAGCUGGUAUUUUUAAGAGCCCAGAUUCUUCACUGUGGGAGACUACGGCUUUUGAAGAGUCAGCCAACCAGCUUGAGAGUGAAUAUAAUCACCCAUUUUCUAAAAUGAGUAAGUGAGGAUGUAACUUACAAACCUGCUAGAUUCCUCUGUUGAAUUGCAAAUAAAACUAGAGAAGCUGCCCAGAAUCUCAGAAUUGAAAAAUGAAAUGAUGAUUAUCCCAUUUUUCUAUUAACAGAAGAGGAGACUUGGGACCAGCCUCCGCUGUGUGGUACCGAGCAAGAGCAG
rnacentral:lncRNA from 10 species